CAGCCGCCGCGGUAAAACGUAGGGUGCGAGCGUUAAUCGGAAUUACUGGGCGUAAAGCGGGCACAGACGGUUACUUAAGCAGGAUGUGAAAUCCCCGGGCUCAACCUGGGAACUGCGUUCUGAACUGGGUGACUAGAGUGUGUCAGAGGGAGGUAGAAUUCCACGUGUAGCAGUGAAAUGCGUAGAGAUGUGGAGGAAUACCGAUGGCGAAGGCAGCCUCCUGGGAUAACACUGACGUUCAUGCCCGAAAGCGUGGGUAGCAAACAGGAUUAGAUACCCGUGUAGUCCCUGUCUCUUAUAC
rnacentral:rRNA from 1 species